AUACCUUUCUCGGCCUUUUGGCUAAGAUCAAGUGUAGUAUCUGUUCUUAUCAGUUUAAUAUCUGAUAUGUGGGUCAGGGGAGGAUUCUUCACAGUAGCUUGCUGCUGGAAUCAUCAUCAGUGUUGCACUACACCUUA
rfam:Glycine soja cultivar W05 scaffold1774_36, whole genome shotgun sequence.